rnacentral:rRNA from 1 species
AAUAGAUACCCCGGUAGUCCACCCCGUAAACGUUGGGAACUAGUUGUGGGGUCCAUUCCACGGAUUCCGUGACGCAGCUAACGCAUUAAGUUCCCCGCCUGGGGAGUACGGCCGCAAGGCUAAAACUCAAAGGAAUUGACGGGGACCCGCACAAGCGGCGGAGCAUGCGGAUUAAUUCGAUGCAACGCGAAGAACCUUACCAAGGCUUGACAUAUACGAGAACGGGCCAGAAAUGGUCAACUCUUUGGACACUCGUAAACAGGUGGUGCAUGGUUGUCGUCAGCUCGUGUCGUGAGAUGUUGGGUUAAGUCCCGCAACGAGCGCAACCCUCGUUCUAUGUUGCCAGCACGUAAUGGUGGGAACUCAUGGGAUACUGCCGGGGUCAACUCGGAGGAAGGUGGGGAUGACGUCAAAUCAUCAUGCCCCUUAUGUCUUGGGCUUCACGCAUGCUACAAUGGCCGGUACAAAGGGCUGCAAUACCGCGAGGUGGAGCGAAUCCCAAAAAGCCGGUCCCAGUUCGGAUUGAGGUCUGCAACUCGACCUCA